rnacentral:sRNA from 1 species
UUUGGUAGUAGGCGUAGAUAUGUAAGUUGGUUGAAGCAAAAUUUUAAAUAAGCAAGGUCUUCGAUUUUUAUACAAAAAUGGCUGCAAAACUUGUACAGAUAUGGUUACUGUAUUUGAUGGCGCCGUUUACGAUUUUCUCUUCACUGUGCAAGAUGGAAAUAAAAUGAGCAAUUAAGUGAAAUAUAUUUAUAAGACACAUGUUUGUAUGUGUAUACAUGUAUGCUUGUAAGGGAACAUUUUCCAGCAAUUACUGACAACAAGGUACGUUAUCAUUUUAAAAAGGAAUGACCAUUUUCAAGAGCUUUUCAGCAAACUUUGCACGGUUGGCCCAAGCUUUCUACAUGAUUAAACCCGACCAGAUCAGGAAUGUGUAUUUACAGUGACGCAUAAUGUCCCCCGGGAGUACUAUAGGUACGGAUUAUUCCGUAUCUAGAAUAUAAUUGAAACAAUUAUUGCGUAAUGGUUCAAGCGCCAAAUUGCAAAAAUUUAA